rnacentral:rRNA from 1 species
AGCUGAGCGGUAGAGAUCUUUCGGGAUCUUGAGAGCGGCGUACGGGUGCGGAACACGUGUGCAACCUGCCUUUAUCAGGGGGAUAGCCUUUCGAAAGGAAGAUUAAUACCCCAUAAUAUAUAGAGUGGCAUCACUUUAUAUUGAAAACUGAGGUGGAUAAAGAUGGGCACGCGCAAGAUUAGAUAGUUGGUGAGGUAACGGCUCACCAAGUCGAUGAUCUUUAGGGGGCCUGAGAGGGUGAUCCCCCACACUGGUACUGAGACACGGACCAGACUCCUACGGGAGGCAGCAGUGAGGAAUAUUGGACAAUGGGUUAGCGCCUGAUCCAGCCAUCCCGCGUGAAGGACGACGGCCCUAUGGGUUGUAAACUUCUUUUGUACAGGGAUAAACCUUUCCACGUGUGGGAAGCUGAAGGUACUGUACGAAUAAGCACCGGCUAACUCCGUGCCAGCAGCCGCGGUAAUACGGAGGGUGCAAGCGUUAUCCGGAUUUAUUGGGUUUAAAGGGUCCGUAGGCGGAUGCGUAAGUCAGUGGUGAAAUCUCACAGCUCAACUGUGAAACUGCCAUUGAUACUGCGUGUCUUGAGUGAGGUUGAAGUAG